GCCUUCGUAGUGCAGUGGUCAGCGCGCUCGACCCGUAUUUGAGAAGUUUGAAGUUCGAGUCCCGGUGAGGGCA
rnacentral:tRNA from 1 species